UACAGAGGUCUCAAGCGUUGUUCGGAUUCAUUGGGCGUAAAGGGUGUGUAGGUGGCGCCGUAAGUCGGGUGUGAAAUUUCGGAGCUUAACUCCGAAACUGCAUUCGAUACUGCGGUGCUUGAGGACUGGAGAGGAGACUGGAAUUCAUGGUGUAGCAGUGAAAUGCGUAGAGAUCAUGGGGAAGACCAGUGGCGAAGGCGGGUCUCUGGACAGUUCCUGACACUGAGACACGAAGGCCAGGGGAGCAAACGGG
rnacentral:rRNA from 1 species